UGCCAUUAAUUGCCAUCAUUGAGUUGGGCACUUUAAUGGGACUGCCGGUGACAAACCGGAGGAAGGUGGGGAUGACGUCAAGUCCUCAUGGCCCUUAUGGCCAGGGCUUCACACGUAAUACAAUGGUCGGUACAGAGAGUUGCCAACCCGCGAGGGGGAGCUAAUCUCAGAAAGCCGAUCGUAGUCCGGAUUGUUCUCUGCAACUCGAGAGCAUGAAGUCGGAAUCGCUAGUAAUCGCGGAUCAGCAUGUCGCGGCAAAUACGUUCCCGGGCCUUGUACACACCGCCCGUCACACCAUGGGAGUGGGUUUUACCAGAAGUAGGUAGUCUAACCGCA
rnacentral:rRNA from 1 species